rnacentral:lncRNA from 1 species
GCCCGGGUUUGCGGGAACAAAGCAGCGCCCUGCGGAAGGCAGCCCUCGUGAACUCAGAAGUUAGUUUUCGUCUCUGGACCUUUUUAUAAUCGGACUUCAGCCCAUCACUGUCUCGUUUUGUCCUCAGAAACGGCGACAGCAGCCUCUUCCCAAUGUUGAGAGCAAAAAGUGUGAACCCAGAAAUUCCGAGACAGAUCUCAAUUACUUGCCAAGGUUGAGGACGCGCGCGUGACAGCCUCAGGAAGUCCUCACGACAUGUGCCCAAGGUGGUCUGGGCAUAGCUUAGUUUUAUACAUUUUAUGGAGACAUGAGACAUCAAUAAAUGUAUGUAAGAAGUACAUUGGUUCUGUUUGGAAAGGCGGGGCAACUUGAAGCAAAGGCAGGAAGACGUGAAGCAGGAAGGGGGCUUCCAAGAAACAGAAGGUGAGGCACAAACGGUUGCAUUCUUUUGAGAUUCUGAUUAGCGUUUCCAAAGGAGGCAAUCAGAUAUGCAUCUGUGUCAGCCAGCAAAGGGGUGACUUUGAAUAGACUGGGAGGCAGGUUGGCCCUAAGCAAUUCCCAGCUUGACUUUUUCCUUUAGCGUAGUGAUUUGGGGGGGUCCCAAGAUUUAUUUUCCUUUCACAAAAGCCAUGGAGUGGAUACAGGAGAACCUCCUCUAUUGUAGGCUUUUUGGAGCUUGAAAUUCUGGGAGCUUCUAGAUGGCGGAAGCAGCGGGGAGAAUAGGAGACAAGUGAACAUUUAUUUUUAUGUCUUUCUUCCUAUGUGUAUUUCAAGUCUUUUUCAAAACAAGGCCCCAGGACUCUCCAGAUUCAAUUAUGUCCUUGGGCUUGGUCGACUGCUGCAGGAGUCUUAAGGAGCCUUGUGCAAAUGCUAGAGUGACUCAUUUACCAACAUUAAACCCUAGGAUAGAUGCAACAGAGAAGUACUACUUCCUCCAUGGAAUGUGCUGAUUUCAGGCGACGUGGCACCCAAUGUAGAAAACGCUGGAAUUUUUCCUUGGAACUGGACUGUGAUGAGAGGUGCUUGCCAUGAACAUAAGCUACUGUCUUUUUUUUCUUUUUUUGAGACGGACUUUCACUUUUUUUGCCCAGGCUGGAGUGUAAUGGCGCGAUCUUGGCUCACCGCAACCUCCGCCUCCCAGGUUUGAGUGAUUCUCCUACCUUAGCCUCCUGAGUAGCUGGGAUUACAGGCGUGCGCCACCAUUCCCAGCUAAUUUUUGUAUUUUUAGUAGACACAGUGUUUCUCCAUGUUGGUCAGGCUGGUCUCAAACUCCUGACCUCAGGUGAUACGCCCGCCUCAGCCUCCCAAAGUGUUGGGAUUACUGGCGUGAGGCAUCGUGCCCAGCAAGCUACUGUCUUUUCUUU